rnacentral:rRNA from 1 species
UACGUAGGGUGCAAGCGUUGUCCGGAAUUACUGGGCGUAAAGGGCGCGUAGGCGGGAUGGCAAGUCGGUCGUGAAAUCCCUCGGCUCAACCGAGGAACGUCGAUCGAUACUGCUGUUCUUGAGGAUUGCAGAGGAGACUGGAAUUCCCGGUGUAGCGGUGAAAUGUGUAGAGAUCGGGAGGAACACCGGUGGCGAAGGCGGGUCUCUGGGCCGUAACUGACGCUGAGGAGCGAAAGCAUGGGGAGCGAACAGG